rnacentral:rRNA from 1 species
AGAUUGAACGCUGGCGGCAUGCCUUACACAUGCAAGUCGAACGGCAGCACGGGAGCAAUCCUGGUGGCGAGUGGCGAACGGGUGAGUAAUACAUCGGAACGUGCCCAAUCGUGGGGGAUAACGCAGCGAAAGCUGUGCUAAUACCGCAUAAGAUCUACGGAUGAAAGCAGGGGAUCGCAAGACCUUGCGCGAAUGGAGCGGCCGAUGGCAGAUUAGGUAGUUGGUGAGGUAAGCUCACCAAGCCUUCAUCUGUAGCUGGUCUGAGAGGACGACCAGCC